rnacentral:rRNA from 1 species
AACAAGGAUUCGUCCAAGUGAAAUAGAGGACAGUGGCGGACGGGUGAGUAACGCGUGAGGAACCUGCCUUUCAGAGGGGGACAACAGUUGGAAACGACUGCUAAUACCGCAUAAGCCCACGGAUCCGCAUGGAUCUGCGGGAAAAGGAUUUAUUCGCUCUAGGAUGGACUCGCGUCUGAUUAGCUAGUUGGUGAGGUAACGGCCCACCAAGGCGACGAUCAGUAGCCGGACUGAGAGGUUGACCGGCCACAUUGGGACUGAGAUACGGCCCAGACUCC